UGUUCCGUGAGGGCCGCCUGG
rnacentral:misc_RNA from 1 species